AACGGAUUAUUCUUUAUAGCUUGCUAUGGGAACAAUUAGUGGCAGACGGGUGAGUAAUGCAUAGGAAUCUACCUAGUAGUAUAGGAUAGCCACUAGAAGUGGUGGGUAAUACUGUAUAAUCCCUGCGGGGGAAAGAUUUAUCGCUACAUGAUGAGCCUAUGUUAGAUUAGCUAGUUGGUAGGGUAAUGGCCUACCAAGGCAGUGAUCUAUAGCUGGUCUGAGAGGAUGAUCAGCCACACUGGAACUGAGACACGGUCCAGACUCCUACGGGAGGCAGCAGUGGGGAAUAUUGGACAAUGGGCGCAAGCCUGAUCCAGCUAUGCCGCGUGAGUGAGGAAGGCCUUAGGGUUGUAAAACUCUUUCAGUGGGGAAGAUAAUGACGGUACCCACAGAAGAAGUCCCGGCAAACUC
rnacentral:rRNA from 1 species